rnacentral:misc_RNA from 1 species
GCUAUAGCAUCACAUAAUUAUGCUACAUCAACAAUAUAAUCUUCCCAACAGUAAUAAGUCUUUACCAUCUCCUAUUCUAUAUCCUGCUACUAUAAGCAGCAAGCUGACCAAACAUCUUAUUCCAUACACAUGUUAACUGUUUCAACCACACCUGAAUAGUUUUGCACCUAGACAACCAAGGAAGGAGAGGGAAAAGGGGAGGGGGGUCCUUCAAAAAGUAAUGAGCACCAUAAGACUAUAAAGCUCAAAAUAAUUAGAGAUGGAUCCA